GUGAGUGGAACUAAACUUAAUGUUUUAAAUUGAGAAAUGAAAUGCUUUUAGCAUGUUUCAUGCACCAUGAGUAUGCAAUAGGUUGAUUGCAUUAGUAGUCACGAAUAUGAUGCAUUGCAUUAUUUAUUGAUGAUGUGGAUGGACCAAGGCGACCUCAAUAGCCCAUGAUCUGUUAAGUAAGGAAAGACCUGUGUGAGCUCCCAGGGGGG
rnacentral:lncRNA from 1 species